UACGUAGGGGGCAAGCGUUAUCCGGAUUUACUGGGUGUAAGGGGAGCGUAGACGGCAUAGCAAGUCUGAAGUGAAAGCCCGUGGCUCAACCGCGGAACUGCUUUGGAAACUGUUAAGCUGGAGUACUGGAGAGGCAAGCGGAAUUCCUAGUGUAGCGGUGAAAUGCGUAGAUAUUAGGAGGAACACCAGUGGCGAAGGCGGCUUGCUGGACAGAGACUGACGUUGAGGCUCGAAAGCGUGGGGAGCAAACAGG
rnacentral:rRNA from 1 species